rnacentral:rRNA from 1 species
AUGCAAGUCGAGCGGUAGCAGGACCUGUAGCAAUACAGGUUGCUGACGAGCGGCGGACGGGUGAGGAAUACGUAGGAACUUGCCCUUCAGAGGGGGAUAACCAAGGGAAACUUUGGCUAAUACCGCGUAAUCUCGGGAGAGUAAAGCUGCCGCAAGGUGGUGCUGAAGGAGAGGCCUGCGUCCGAUUAGCUAGUUGGGGAGAUAAGAGCUCACCAAAGCGAUGGUCGGUAACUGGUCUGAGAGGACGACCAGUCACACUGAGACUGAGACACGGCCCAGACUCCUACGGGAGGAAGCAGUGGGGAAUAUGGGACAAUGGGGGCAACCCUGAUCCAGCGAUGCCGCGUGAGUGAAGAAGGCCCUCGGGUCGUAAAGCUCUUUAGGUUGGGAAGAAGGUUAUUGGAGGAAAUGCUAGUAACUUGACGGUACCGACAGAAUAAGCACCGGCAAACUCUGUGCCAGCCGCCGCAGUAA